rnacentral:rRNA from 1 species
CAAAUGACUCUCGGCAAUGGAUAUCUCGGCUCUUGCAUCGAUGAAGAACGUAGUGAAAUGCGAUACUUGGUGUGAAUUGCAGAAUCUCGUGAACCAUUGAGUCUUUGAACGCAAGUUGUGCCCGAGGCCUUCUGGUCGAGGGCACGCCUGCUUGGGCGUCAUGG